AUUUGAUAUGUAAUGUAUUAUUUCAUUUUCUUUGCUUUAAGCGAAGAUCUUGGCAAGUAUAUAAAGAAACUAUUACAAAGUAAUUGGCUGUAUAUCAAAGGAAGAGACAAGUCCUAAAUGAAAACCACACUAUAAUAAACAAAGCGAAUUGAAAUAUCUUAGUAACUUUAGGAAAAGAAAUCAAACGAGAUUCUAUGAAUAGUGUGAAUGAAAGUAGAUCUAGUCAUGUAAGUAAAACGGAAUGUAAAUCUGUUUGAAUAUAGGGGAACCUUCCUCUAAGACUAAAUAUGAUAUAUAAGCGAUAGCGAAUAGUACCGUGAGGGAAUAUUACGUAAAUAGUAGUUUUAUAAGCAGCUCGAAAAAAAUUCUAUUGAAUUAGAGCGUACCUUUUGCAUAAUGGGUCAGCAAGUUAAUGUUAGAUGCAAGCAUCCCGUCUCAGUAUAAAAGUUUUGUUCUAGAAUAAAACCGGCUUAACCACUUCUUUAAAAAGAAAGAUAAUGGAAGAAUAGUCAUACUAUUCAGAGCUAGGGUUCUGAACUGAAUAAUAUUUAGAAAAAGGCUUGCCCAGGUAAACCAAUUAUAAUCUAAUAAUUUAGUAUCUAAUGUUAGACCCGAAGCCUAGUGAUCUUACCAUGGUCAGGAUUAUAAAAGUCCGAACGGGUUAUCGUUGUAAAGAUAUCCGAUGAAUUGUGGUAAGUUAGUGAAAGACAAUACUGACUAGGAUAGCUGGUUUUCCGCGAAACCUAUGUAAGUAGGUAGUUUAAUAAAUAUCUUAGCAGGUACAGUAUUUGAUCACGAUAAUAUAAAUAGUACUUGUUGAAUACACAAUAUUAUUUAUUUUGUAUAUAUCGGGGGAUCGUGAUGGUUUUACCGGAGUGUUUCAGAUCUCGGAAGGGCAAUGAUAAAGGUUAAACAAUCAGACAUAGUACGCUAAGGUUGUAUGUCAAAAGGGAAACAGCCCAGAACAAGAGUUUAAGGUUCCAAAAUUAUUGUUAAGUGAAAUAAAGGAAGUUUUUUUCAAAUACAAUCAGGAAAUAGGCUUAGAAGCGGCCAUUUUUUUAAGAUCUCGUAACAGAGCACUGGUCUAAUGAACUAUAUUUUAAAUAUAGUUAAAGUAAAAAGCGCCGAAAAUAGAACGGAUCUAAACAAUAUACCGACACCUUGUCUAUAAAUAUUGAUUUGACUGGAAAAAGUUAGUCUUUCAUAUUUAUAGGGUAGCGGAACGUAGGGUAAAUGUGGUAAUAAUGAUUUUAUUCUUCAAAAUCAAAAGAUCAAUUCAUGGAAGAUAUAUGUUUAUCGUAGUAUUAUGGAAAUAAACUGAAACAGAUUAUACAUAAGAAAGAGAUAUGAAGAAGAAUAUCCCUAGUGAGAAUGCUGACAUGAGUAACGAUAAAGGGUAAGUAACGUAAAGUUACUAUCUUACCCUCGCCUAAAGCUUAUGGUUUUUAUUCAUUAACGGCCUCUAAGUUUAUAUACUACCUAAAGGAUGAAACGAUGAGUACCUAUGCAAAAAACCUUACUGUACAAGAGUAGUAAGGUUCUGGAAAACAAUAGGAAACAACCGUACCUAAAUACUACCGCAAGUAAGCUAGUAGAGAAUACGAAGGCGUUUGAGCUAACAAUCAUUAAGGAACUCGGCAAAUUGACUCCGUAACUUCGGGAGAAGGUGGGCCAUUCCUCUUGAUUAAUAUUAAGAGAAGAGGAGGCAUAGAAUGGUGUUGUACGACUGUUUAAUUAAAACAAAGCACUUUGCGUAAGAUGUAAAAUCAAAGUAUUGAGUGUGAUUUCUGCCCUAUGUCGGCUGGUUAACGGAUUUUCUUAACUGACUAAAAUAGGUUAGGUUUUGAAGGAACCCCCGAUCAAUGGCGGCCUUAUCUAUAAGGGUCUUAAGGUAGCGGAAUACCUUGGCCGUUAAAUGCGGUCUUGCAUGAAUGAUGUAACGAUACAACAGCUGUCUCAAUGAUUGGCUCAGUGAAAUUGGAAUAGCAGUGCAGAUACUGUUUACCUCUAGAUAGACGAGAAGACCCUUUGCAGCUUUACUGUUACUAAUUAUUGGUUAUGUUAUAUCAAGUUUUAGAGUAAAAGGUAAUUGUCAGAUACAGUUGAAACACCUUUACUUUGUUUUUCAUAGCUCUGAUAGGGCUAGCUUCAUUUGUAAGUAUAUUACUUGUGAAGGUGGCUUAUAAUCUUAGGUAGACUCUCAACCAGUCUACCCUAAUCCUUCAAAAUGUGGCUUUUCUUUUUUAGACUUUUUCAAAAUCUAAAAUAAAGCACAGGGAGACAAUUGCUAGUAGACGGUUUAUGCGGGGCACAGAUCCCAUAAAAAGUACCUGGGUAUAUCCAAAGUUCAUUUUGUAAAUGUAUAUGUAUAUAUACAUUUAAAUUUAUAGACGUAACUUUUUGUAGAAAAGAGACUUACCUUUUUAUUUUACAAGAAAGUUUUCCUGUAGUUUCUAUUACAUUUAUUUUGUUGUUGAUUUAUUUUU
rnacentral:rRNA from 1 species